GGGAGGGGAGGCGGGGCGGGGAGGGGAGGCGGGAAGUCACUCCGGACUCUGCCUGCGGUGCGGCCUCCCGCGGAGCCGCUCGGACCUUCCCCGCCGCCCAUGGACCCGGCCCAGGCCUCGCCGCCCGAAGUGCAGCUGGAGCUGUGGGCGCUGGCGCGGCAGCCGGACGAGCUCACGCCUCUCAAUGGUGCCGUCCGUGUGGACGAGGUGGCCCUCCCGGCCGAGGCUAACAAGGAAAGCCCCUGGAGCUCCUGUAAUAAGAAUGUGGUUGGAAGGUGCAAACUGUGGAUGAUCGUCACCUCCAUUUUCCUAGGUUUCAUUAUAGUGAUCAUCGUAGGCUUAUGUCUUGCUGGAGUAAGUUAUGUUGAUGAAGAUGAAAAUGAAAUACUUGAAUUAUCAUCAAAUAAAACCUUCUUGGUCACGCUGAAGAUUCCAGAGGAGUGUGUUGCUGAAGAGGAUUUGUCUCACCUGCUCACCAAAAGGCUCACAGAUGUGUACGGUACAUCGCCCUCUCUGAGUCGUUACUUUACUUCAGCUGAAGUAGUGGACUUCAGUGGUGAAAAUGCCACAGUAACCUACCACCUGCAAUUUGGGGUUCCCUCGGAUGAUGAAAGUUUUAUGAAGUAUAUGAUGAGUGAGGAGUUGGUGCUGGGCAUUUUGCUGCAGGAUUUCCAUGAUCAGAACAUACCUGGUUGUGAGAAUCUGGGGCUUGAUCCAGCAUCCCUCUUGCUCGAUGUAGAAACAGGGUUUCACCUUGUUGACCAGGAUGGUCUCGAUCUCUUGACCUCGUGAUCCACCCGCCUCAGCCUCCCAAAGUGCUGAUAUUACAGGCUUGAGCCACCGCGCCCAGCCUGACUCUGAGAACUUUUAACACUCGGAACAAAACCUGGCAGAAAGGAAGGUGGGAAGGCCAAAUGGCUCCAGGUCUCCAAAUGUCCUUUCACUGCUCUGUAGUGAAGCUCCGGCCUUUGCUGGGGACCUCGCCUUCUGAUACCUCGCUCGGAGGCUGCUUACUCUUGUUUAGCCCAUAAUGCCAGCGAUCUUGGACAUUUUAUGUUCUCAUCCACAGUCCAUCCAAAUCACUUUCUCCGCAUUCGUAGGUACUCAGUAAAUACUAGUUGAAUGGGUGAGAAAGGCAAAUUAGAAGUAGCCGUGGUUGGCAGCAGGUGCAGUAACGGUCUAGAAUCAAAAGCAUGAAACAGGCUUAAAAGCGCACGUGUUAAUGCAUAGUACAAGGCAAGGUGUUUAAUAUGAUGACACAGUUUCUGCAGGAUGAGAGGCAAGAGUAAUGUUGGCCUAAGAAGGCAGAAAGUUAUGUAAAGCAGUACCUAAGAAUGCAAUUCAGAAGGCCGAAUUUUAGCUCACUGGAAGAGUCUCAUACACGGAGAGCUUCCUCACAGAGCAUCCUCAAUAAAAUGUGUCUCUGGGUCAGGCAGACAAUAUACAUGUCUGGAGUGAAGAGGUUGUGCCCCAAUUAUAGGAAUUAAAAAAAAAAAAAAAAAAGACCAGGCUGGUGGCUCAUGCCUGUAAUCCCAGCACUUUGAGAGGCCAAGGCAGGUGGAUCACCUGAGGUCAGAAGUUCAACACAAGCCUGGCCAACAUGGCGAAACCCCAUCUCUACUAAAAAUAUGAAAAUUAGCCAGGCAAGGUGGCAGGCACUUGUAAUCCCAGCUACUCAGGAGGCUGAGGCAGGAGAAUUGCUCGAACCUUGGAGGUGGAGGUUGUAGUGACCUGAGAUCGCAUCACUGCAUUCCAGCCUGGGCCACACAAACAAAACUCCAUCUCAAAAGAAAACAACAACCCACCACCCCACAACAAAUCUUCAGCCUCCCCCUUUGUAAAGAGGCCUGUGAUGCCUGUGAGGGCUGCUGCUGUGGUGUGCUUGGUCUUGAUUUUCCUAGGCUCCUUCCAAAAACUGUUAAUUGGCUCUUUCCAAAUAGAGGCCAGGGAGGUGGGCAGAGGUCUGAGGAAAGGUUGAAGAGGAUUCCGAGGCUGUGAGGUUCGUACAGCACAAGAUAGGCUGCACAGGGUAGGCUGCUGUGAGGCCUGAGCAGAGCUCCCAGAAGACCCUGAGCUUGUCAGAGAGACUCAGGUGUUUCCCCAGGGCUCAGUGCUGGGAAGGCAGCUGCGAGAGGAACAAAGUCUGCUCUUGGAAAUUGCACUCCCUCUCUCAGACGUUUCAUCUGAGUGGACGUGCUCAGAAAAUGUGGGGUUUUCUGCAACUCCAUGUUCCACUUUCCAGAGCAUAAAUGUGCAAUAUUUAAGUGAUUUUAUGAUUUCAAAAUGUGAGUGUCACUGCCCUCUCAAAAGGGAAGGGUGCACAGAGAACAAUUGGGAAGUGAGGAAAGGAGAAGAGAGACUCAUCACAGUCAGGCAGCCAGAAGGGGGAUGAGCUCAGAGGGAAGAUGUGUCAGGGAGAGGCCCAGGGCCCUGGGAGGGACCAAGUGAAUUCUUUUUUUUUUUUUUUAGACGGAGUUUCGUUCUUGUUACCCAGGCUGGAGUGCAAUGGCGCGAUCUCGGCUCACCGCAACCUCCGCCUCCUGGGUUCAGGCAAUUCUCCUGCCUCAGCCUCCUGAGUAGCUGGGAUUACAGGCACGCGCCACCAUGCCCAGCUAAUUUUUUGUAUCUUUAGUAGAGACGGGGUUUCACCAUGUUGACCAGGAUGGUCUCGAUCUCUUGACCUUGUGAUCCACCCGCCUAGGCCUCCCAAAGUGCUGGGAUUACAGGCUUGAGCCACCGCGCCCGGCCCCAAAAUGAAGCAAUGGAGGUCAGUCUGCGUCCGAAAGCAGUGCCCCAGAGUCCUAGAGAUGAAGGGAAUUCACUCUGUUUUACGGAAAAGAUUCUGUGAAUUAAUUCAGAAGCACCAGCAACAACCAGGGAGGUGGAGACUCCUUUCUCUCCUGAUUCUGCAGUCUGGCUCCAAGCCCAGUAAAACAGCUCCUGAGCACUGCUUCAGCUGGGUCCACUCUUGACAAAGGCAGGAAGCCAGCUAGGGUUGGGGCGACAGUGUCAGCAGGUGUGUCCCGCUGUGGGAGGUCACUGGUAUUCUUUUUUUGUUUCUGUUUUUGGGACAGGGUGUUGUUCUAUCCUUUAGGCUGGAGUGCGGUGGUGCUCACUGCUGUUCUUGAAGCACGCCACCCACCUGCAUUCCUUUAUCUUUAGCACAGAGGUGCACUGCCUUCUUUUAGGUGGGAUCACAUAAGCAUGAGCUGGUAGAGCAGGGAGAGGCAGGCAGCCAGGUUAGGAUGACUAAGCCAAUCAUUCCCUGAAAUCACCCUUUUUCCCUCCACCGAUGUAUUUGAUCUACCUCUAAGCCAGGGUGUGAAGAAAAGGAAGGCACUUUAGAAGACCUCAGCGGUGUGGCUCUGUGUCUGCUUCCAUGACCUGCACCUGAGUGUCUUAGCCAACCAGCCCUGGGCGCACCACCAAGGCUACCUGGAGGUCUAUAUAUGUAGCUACAGAUGGGAGCAUGUGUUUCUUCCAUGACCUGCACCUGAGUGUCUUAGCCAACCAGCCCUGGGCGCACCACCAAGGCUACCUGGAGAUCUAUAUAUGUAGCUACAGAUGGGAACAUGUGUUUCUUCCAUGACCUGCACCUGAGUGUCUUAGCCAACCAGCCCUGGGCGCACCACCAAGGCUACCUGGAGGUCUAUAUAUGUAGCUACAGAUGGGAACAUGUGUUUCUUCCAUGACCUGCACCUGAGUGUCUUAGCCAACCAGCCCUGGGCACACCACCAAGGCUACCUGGAGAUCUAUAUAUGUAGCUACAGAUGGGAGCAUGUGUUUCUUCCAUGACCUGCACCUGAGUGUCUUAGCCAACCAGCCCUGGGCACACCACCAAGGCUACCUGGAGAUCUAUAUAUGUAGCUACAGAUGGGAGCAUGUGUUUCUUCCAUGACCUGCACCUGAGUGUCUUAGCCAACCAGCCCUGGGCGCACCACCAAGGCUACCUGGAGGUCUAUAUAUGUAGCUACAGAUGGGAGCAUGUGUUUCUUCCAUGACCUGCACCUGAGUGUCUUAGCCAACCAGCCCUGGGCGCACCACCAAGGCUACCUGGAGGUCUAUAUAUGUAGCUACAGAUGGGAGCAUGUGUUUCUUCCAUGACCUGCACCUGAGUGUCUUAGCCAACCAGCCCUGGGCGCACCACCAAGGCUACCUGGAGGUCUAUAUAUGUAGCUACAGAUGGGAACAUGUGUUUCUUCCAUGACCUGCACCUGAGUGUCUUAGCCAACCAGCCCUGGGCGCACCACCAAGGCUACCUGGAGGUCUAUAUAUGUAGCUACAGAUGGGAGCAUGUGUUUCUUCAUUGGUUUGCGGCUCCCCAUUGUUCCUGUGAUUCCUGAACGCCCUUUUUGGAAACGUGAGUCCCUGGGAGUUUUCACUUCGGAUAGUCACUCCAUUUGUAUUUUUUAUAAACUUCCAUCAGAGAAUCAUUAAGGCUGUGGAACAUCUACUAUGGAUAUUAUGGAUUGGCUUCUUGUUGCCCAGGGUUACACACCUUCCUGUAGAACUCAGUGUCUUCAGGCAAUGAUUGCGUAUCCUCUUACAGAUGGUGGUGUACAAGAAGAACCACUCGCCUUUGAAAAUAAAUUGUUGGAGAGUUUUGCCAGCUAUUUGGGGGGUAGGAGGAAUAUUAGCGACUGUGUUGGUUCUUUACAGAUAGAGAAUUGCCUGUCCUGAGGGAACGGAGUAUUUGUUUUGUUGGGAAAAGAAAUUUACCAGGAGAAAGAGUUUUGUGCUGUAUCUUGACAGAUCUCUAGCCCUAGUCUCUCAGUUAAUUCAGCUCUGGGUUAGUCAGUGUGUGGGCACAUGCUAGAGUAUCUGCCUCAGACUAGAUCUGACAUGAGUCUUCCUGACCCAGGACUCUGGAUAAUGUGAAUCUCUUUCUUAUUUAACUGGAAGAUCCAUGUACUGCAGAUCAUUGUCUCAUUUUAGGGAUUGUUCCUUAAACUAGUGAAACUAGUGGAUUUCUCUUCUUCCUCUUUAUUUUUUACGUGUGAAAUGUGAACUUUAGUGUGUUUCUAUUUUUCAGAAAAUAAUGAAAACUUCUAAUGGAGAAUGAUUUAAAAACAUUUACAAUAAAUUAUUUUUGCAUCUGU